GACGAACGCUGGCGGCGUGCCUAAUACAUGCAAGUAGGACGCAGUUGCGAACGGGAGAGUAACGCGUAGGUAACUACCUAUUAGAGGGGGAUAACUAUUGGAAACGAUAGCGAAUACCGCAUACUAGUAGAAGGACCUGCUUUGUAUUAGGUAGUAGGUAGGGUAAAGGCCUACCUAGGCAACGAUACAUAGCCGUCCUUGAGGGGUGAUCGGCCAAACUUGGACUGGGACACGGCCCCGACUCCUACGGGAAGCAGGAGUAGGGAAUCUUCGGCAAUGGGGGGAACCCUGGCCGAGCAACGCCGCGGGAGUGAAGAAGGUUUUCGGAUCGUAAAGCUCUGUUGUUAAGGAAGCGUUACUUAACCAGAAAGGGACGGCUAACUACGUGCCAGCAGCCGCGGUAAUAC
rnacentral:rRNA from 1 species